CUCAUCAUAUUACAACAAAACAAGAGCCUGGAACUUUUGUUCUACAUAUCAACAGAGCACAGUUAAGCAAUACAGCUGUUUAUUACUGCAUCAAAGUAAGAGAGCGCAAGAUGACAUUUUUGAAAGGAACUUUUCUUAGAGUCAAAGGACCUGACCCAGGCAUCACUGGUGUCACUCAAGACUUUUUGUCUAAUACAGUCCAUCCAGGAGCCCCAGUAACUCUGCAGUGUUCAGUCCUCUCUAAUUCUGAGAAUAGAACAUGUACAGAAGAUCACAGUGUGUACUGGUACAGAGCCAAACCAGAUGAAUCUCAUCCUAGUUUAAUUUAUAGUCAAGGAAACAAUAGUAAUUACUGUGAGCGGAGUCCUGAGGCUCCCUCCAAACAGAAAUGUGUCUACAGCUUCUCCAGGAACGUCACCUGCUCUGAUACAGGAACUUAUUACUGUGCUGUGGCCACAUGUGGAGAGAUACUUUUUGGAAAUGGAGCAAAACUUGAUAUCGAAGAGAGAUGAGGACUCACUGGCUUAUGCUGCACCAACAUUUACCAAGAGAAACACUCGCAAAGCAGAGAGAAGGGAUGCAAAAGCAACAGAGACAAUUUGUAUUUAUUCUGAUGUCAGAGCUUUUGCAUAUGGA